rnacentral:rRNA from 1 species
CGAAGGUGCAAGCGUUACUCGGAAUUACUGGGCGUAAAGCGUGCGUAGGUGGUUCGUUAAGUCUGCCGUGAAAGCCCCGGGCUCAACCUGGGAAUGGCGGUGGAUACUGGCGGACUAGAGUGCGGUAGAGGGUGGUGGAAUUCCCGGUGUAGCAGUGAAAUGCGUAGAGAUCGGGAGGAACAUCUGUGGCGAAGGCGGCCACCUGGACCAGCACUGACACUGAGGCACGAAAGCGUGGGGAGCAAACAGGAUU